GUAGUGGUGGUUCAGUGGUAGAAUUCUCGCCUUUCCCGUGAGAGACCUGGGUUCAAUUCCUGGCCAGUGCA
rnacentral:tRNA from 1 species